GAUGAACGCUGGCGGCGUGCUUAACACAUGCAAGUCGAACGGGAAACAUUUUAUUGAAGCUUCGGCAGAUUUAGUUUGUUUCUAGUGGCGGACGGGUGAGUAACGCGUGGGUAACCUGCCUCACACUGGGGGAUAACAGUCAGAGAUGACUGCUAAUACCGCAUAAGCGCACGGGACCGCAUGGUUUUGUGUGAAAAACUCCGGUGGUAUGAGAUGGACCCGCGUCUGAUUAGCUAGUUGGUGGGGUAACGGCUCACCAAGGCGACGAUCAGUAGCCGACCUGAGAGGGUGACCGGCCACAUUGGGACUGAGACACGGCCCAA
rnacentral:rRNA from 1 species